GACACCGCAGACUUUCCAUAGCUGCUGAGUUAGGUCUGCAGUGAACUGGGUUCCUCGGUCAGAUAGGAUUUCCUGAGGGAAUCCCACUCUGGUGAAUAUCCCGACUAAGGCACUGGCGACAGUGUCCGCCUGGAUAUUCAUCAGAGCGACGGCUUCUGGGUAGCGGGUAGCAUAGUCCACUACGGUCAGAAUGUACUUUUUGCCCGAGGGGCUGGGGUUAGGUAGGGGUCCUACUAGGUCGACUGCCAC